UACAGAGGGGGCAAGCGUUGUUCGGAAUUAUUGGGCGUAAAGAGCUCGUAGGCGGUUUGUCGCGUCGGCUGUGAAAACCCGGGGCUCAACCCCGGGCCUGCAGUCGAUACGGGCAAACUAGAGUGUGGUAGGGGAGACUGGAAUUCCUGGUGUAGCGGUGAAAUGCGCAGAUAUCAGGAGGAACACCAAUUGCGAAGGCAGCUCGCUGGAACGUAACUGACGCUGAGACGCGAAAGCGUGGGGAGCAAACAGG
rnacentral:rRNA from 1 species